rnacentral:rRNA from 1 species
CCUACGGGAGGCAGCAGUGAGGAAUAUUGGUCAAUGGGCGCAAGCCUGAACCAGCCAUGCCGCGUGCAGGACGACGCAUCUAUGGUGUGUAAACUGCUUUUGUACGGGAAGAAACCCUGCCACGUGUGGCAGAUUGACGGUACCGUAAGAAUAAGGAUCGGCUAACUCCGUGCCAGCAGCCGCGGUAAUACGGAGGAUCCAAGCGUUAUCCGGAAUCAUUGGGUUUAAAGGGUCCGUAGGCGGUUUUAUAAGUCAGUGGUGAAAUCCGGCAGCUCAACUGUCGAACUGCCAUUGAUACUGUAGGACUUGAAUUAUUGUGAAGUAACUAGAAUAUGUAGUGUAGCGGUGAAAUGCUUAGAUAUUACAUGGAAUACCCAUUGCGAAGGCAGGUUACUAACAAUAUAUUGACGCUGAUGGACGAAAGCGUGGGGAGCGAACAGGAUUAGAUACCCUGGUAGUCCACGCCGUAAACGAUGGAUACUAGCUGUUCGGAUGCAAAUCUGAGUGGCUAAGCGAAAGUGAUAAGUAUCCCACCUGGGGAGUACGAACGCAAGUUGAAACUUAAGGAAUUGACGGCUGAGAGAGCGAGAGACGACGAGGGAGGAGG